UGAUGAUCCAGAAAAGAGGUUGUUCCAUAAACUACAGACAAAGCUGACCUACUUCAAACUGCAUAAAACCCAAGAGGUGCUCCUGUAUCGCCUGCCAAAAUAACCCACCGCAACAUGACCCAUAUGCAAAAAAAUUAAAACAGACAGAACGAUGAACAAUGCAGGUUGAAUUACUCUUCGCUGAAGAGGUCGGGCAAGCACCACAGCUAUCCUUGACAGGAAGCAGGAAGCCACAAAAACCAACAUGCGACGACAGACUGGCAGACAUGAUGAAUGGAUAUCCAUAUGCCGCAGCCCAGAGACUCUUCACAAGCUGCCUAUAGGAACUUUAAACAGAAUUCCUGGGAACGCCGUUGGCAUACACAGCGUAGGCUAUAUAGGAUGCCGGCGCUGACCGUUUCAAUGCCAUCAAGUAGGAAGAAGAAGAAAACAAUGCCCCACGAUGGAUCCCGUCAACGAGGUUGGAGGAAAAAGAGCACUCUACAGCCAGAGGCUAUUCAAAAAGACCCUGGAAGCAGGGAGUCCAAGGCUUGGAUGUCCAACGAUCAAUGGGAUUUCCAACCCAGUUAAUUCGAUGUCGGGCCUAGCAGUCACAGGCCAAUCUGUGAUGGGGUUCUGUGCGAGCCCAAGCCAAUUAUCUGGCAAGAAGAGACUGAUUAAUCACAGACACUUCUAUCGUGGAGUGGCUCAUGGUGCAGGUGUCCUCCGUAUUUCAUCAAGUCCAGUUUGAAGCUCCCCCCCC
rnacentral:lncRNA from 1 species